AGAGAAGUAAACUAUUGUUAUUUUAAGUUGUGGGUUUCAUGUGCCUGAAAAGUGUUUUUUUCACCUUCUUUA
rnacentral:tRNA from 1 species